CUCGCACCUGUCAUCUGCAAAAUGUCAGCUGUGAAACGAAAACAACUUUUUCAUCGUUUCUUGGCAAUAUCUAAGAUUUCAGACAGUAUAUCAGUUAACAAAUUCUAUGCAACCUUGUCAGACGAUAGGAAGGAGAAAAUAGCCAAUGGCCCAGAACUUGGUGAUUUCAUUCAUGACAAUCCACAGGUCAAUGCAGAAAACAUUAAAAGAAAGAAAGGAGAAAGAUUAAGACUUCCACAAUGGCUAAAAACAGACAUCGCCAUGGGAAAAGAUUACCACAGACUCAAGGAAAAUUUAAGAGAUCUGAAACUUCACACAGUCUGCGAGGAGGCGAAAUGUCCAAACAUAGGGGAGUGCUGGGGAGGGGCGAAAGGCACAGCAACUGCAACCAUAAUGGUUUUAGGAGACACAUGUACACGGGGUUGCAGGUUUUGUUCCGUAAAAACAGCCAGAAACCCCCCUCCUCCAGAUCCCUUGGAACCAGUUAACACAGCCAAAGCCAUUGCCUCAUGGGGACUAGAUUAUGUGGUUCUGACUUCUGUGGACAGAGAUGACCUUCCUGAUGGGGGAGCUGCCCAUUUUGCAGAAACAGUGAGAGAAAUUAAAAAAAGUAAAUCAGAGAUGCUGGUGGAAUGCCUGACCCCAGACUUCCGCGGUAACAUGGAUUGUGUGGCUACAGUCGCAGAGUCAGGGUUAGAUGUGUAUGCCCACAAUGUGGAGACAGUUGAGGAUUUACAAUGGUUGGUUCGAGACCCCAGAGCAAAUUACCAACAAUCCCUUGAGGUAUUGAAGUUUGUAAAAUCACACACCCCAGAUCUUGUAACCAAGACAUCCAUCAUGCUAGGUCUUGGGGAAUCAGAUGACCAAGUCAUGAGGGUCAUGGAAGGUAAAAGAUUGUGUUAGAGCUUGCUUUACCGGUAUGUUAAAAAAAUAAUUUUAAAAAACUUAUUACUAUUUUUACCUUUUUUAUUCAAAUCCGCUGCAUUAGAUUUCGUGUUACCUUAUUCAAAGUUCAUGAAUUCUGGUAUAUGUAGUUUGUAGUUUUGGUUUUGAAGAUAAAUCUGUUUUUUGAAGAAAAAAAGAACAUGCCAUACAUAAUAAUUCAACUUGAUUACUUUUUAUAUAAGCCUGUUAUUUUUCCUCAAUAGAUUUAAGGAGAAUAGGUGUGGAUUGUGUGACCUUGGGUCAGUACAUGCAGCCCACCAAACGUCACCUGAAGGUCAAGGAGUAUGUCCACCCAGACAAGUUCCAACACUGGGAGGAUGUGGGCAACAAACUGGGCUUUGCAUACACCGCCAGUGGGCCUCUUGUCAGGUCUUCUUAUAAAGCAGGUCUGUAUAGUUCAUUGCUUCAUAAACUUCACUUGUUAAGAGAUCAAGUCAGAAUCCAGAAAAAAAAUAUCGGCUCAGUGUCUAUGAAUGCAUUUUUAAUUAUCAUUUUUGUCUAUGCGAGGAAUGAGUUUUGUCAGGUUAAACUACAUGUAAUCUUUUCUAACAAUUACAGGAGAAUUUUACCUGAAAAAUCUUCUUAAAUCUCGGAGGAAAGAAGCUUCCCUAGCUGAUGUCGCGACUUAGAACUGUGUCAUUCUUUAUUUUACAUCUACUGUUUUCUUUUUUCCUUCAGGGAAGUAACUCUUACUGUGGCAUUUUGUUAAAUUUUUUUAGUAUCGAACUGAUUAUUUAAGGUCUUAGAUCUGACCUCAUAUGUUGAUUAUAAGUUAUUAAAUGAAUCUCUGUUAUUAUGUGUGAAUAAAAUAUCAAUAUU
rnacentral:misc_RNA from 1 species